rnacentral:rRNA from 1 species
GUGAGGAAUAUUGGUCAAUGGGCGGGAGCCUGAACCAGCCAAGUCGCGUGAAGGAAGAAGGAUCUAUGGUUCGUAAACUUCUUUUGCAGGGGAAUAAAGUGCAGGACGUGUCCUGUUUUGUAUGUACCCUGAGAAUAAGGAUCGGCUAACUCCGUGCCAGCAGCCGCGGUAAUACGGAGGAUCCGAGCGUUAUCCGGAUUUAUUGGGUUUAAAGGGUGCGUAGGUGGUUUGAUAAGUCAGCGGUGAAAGUUUGCAGCUUAACUGUAAAAAUGCCGUUGAAACUGUCGGACUUGAGUGUAAAUGAGGUAGGCGGAAUGCGUGGUGUAGCGGUGAAAUGCAUAGAUAUCACGCAGAACUCCGAUUGCGAAGGCAGCUUACUAAGCUACAACUGACACUGAAGCACGAGAGCGUGGGGAUCAAACAGGAUUAGAAACCCUUGUAGUCC